AGAGGACAAAGCCAAAAAGAGCAACAAAAAUUACAAUUUAGGAUCAUCAUUAAUAUUGUGCUUCCACCCACAAAAGAAAACAUAAAAUCAACUAUACUUCAACCGUGAAAAACUGAUGAAUUGGGUAUUCAACAUCUCUCAUCUGAACCAGAAAGAUCUCACACAAAACAUCAAGGGAAAAGAAAUGGCUGGUGAAGACCUUGCAGAGUGAAAACAGUAUGCUGCAACAUAAUGACACCCACAACACCUCCUUCUCAUGAACACGCUCUCCAGGUUUAGGGCAGCUAAAG
rnacentral:lncRNA from 1 species